CAAAAGAAGAUCUUUCUUCAGUUCCCGCUCUUUCUUUUUCCUCUCUUUCUCUUUUUUUUUCUCUUCAGCUUUUUUCUUUUUGUCAUCU
rnacentral:ribozyme from 13 species